GAAUGCCUGUGGUUGGCCUGAAGGGCGU
rnacentral:sRNA from 1 species